GGUGCCUAUCAAAAUCUCAAAUAAUUGGAUCACCUUGACAUAGUAUACCUUCAUAAUACAAUCUUCUGGAACUGAAAGCAUGGGCUAAAAUUGAUUAAAAGGAGAAAUCUUCUUCCACAGUCAACAGUACAUCUACAACAGUCUCACUUGACAUAUCAUCUUAUAAUUUAUUAUUUUUUCUCAUAUUUCAUUUGUCCUCUAUGCCUAUCA
rnacentral:misc_RNA from 1 species